AUGUGCUGUGUUUUUCCGUGGAAUGUUGGAAUCGCCAUGAAGUAUGAAUUGAGGAUAUUAUUCCGAAGUCACAUGAGAAUAUAUUUUAAGGCCAAGGUUAAAGGAGAAGGACAAACUUGCAGAUAUCUUCCCAUCUUAUAUGCACAUGUGCUAAUAUAUUCCUGCACAUAUCCAAGUAUAAGCCACCGGAUAUUAUUUCUUUACAGAUAUGCUAUGUGGACAAUGAGCCCGUUGGCAUUGCUCGAUGUGAAAGUGGAUGGGUUAUGUAUGAUGCACGCAGAGAAAUCAACAGGUGUGAAGUGCCCUGGGAGGAUUUGUUUGCUAUGUGCAGGGACUGCACUCCAGCAAUUCUAUUUUACGAGGUCAUCAAAUAGAUUGACUGAGGUAGUCCAGGUUGCCCUAGACCUGUUCCUGGUUCGUGCGUUCUGUACUCCUUCACCUGAAGAUUGA
rnacentral:rRNA from 1 species